UAGCCUAGUAGUAAGGCUUUGGAACGCCAAUCCGGAGACGGCGGGUUCGAUUCCCGU
rfam:Aedes albopictus isolate Foshan contig45608, whole genome shotgun sequence.